rnacentral:rRNA from 1 species
GACGAACGCUGGCGGCGUGCUUAACACAUGCAAGUCGAACGGAAAGGCCCUGCUUUUGUGGGGUGCUCGAGUGGCGAACGGGUGAGUAACACGUGAGUAACCUGCCCUUGACUUUGGGAUAACUUCAGGAAACUGGGGCUAAUACCGGAUAGGGCUCCUGCUGCAUGGUGGGGGUUGGAAAGUUUCGGCGGUUGGGGAUGGACUCGCGGCUUAUCAGCUUGUUGGUGGGGUAGUGGCUUACCAAGGCUUUGACGGGUAGCCGGCCUGAGAGGGUGACCGGCCACAUUGGGACUGAGAUACGGCCCAGACUCCUACGGGAGGCAGCAGUGGGGUAUAUUGCACAAUGGGCGGAAGCCUGAUGCAGCAACGCCGCGUGCGGGAUGACGGCCUUCGGGUUGUAAACCGCUUUCGCCUGUGACGAAGCGUGAGUGACGGUAAUGGGUAAAGAAGCACCGGCUAACUACGUG